CUCAUUUCAACCAUCCCAACCAAUCUUUCUCUCUUAGUUUUCUCUCUUCUCCCAUUUGAGAAUUCUUAAGGAAUUCUAUUUGUUUGUAAUAUUUUGGAGAUAGUAAAGUUAUCAUCUGGUGUUAGUGCCCGAGGACGUAGGUAUAAUUUACCGAACCUCGUUAAAACUCUUGUGUUCUUUUUUGUCCUAUUUUUCUUUCAAUAUUUGAGGGUAUAAUAGUAGUAUUUAAUUGUGCUAUUAAAUUACUAUAGAAGGGAUAUUCUGACUAAGGAAAGACUUGGUAUUUAAGAGAUCAUUGUGAUCCACCUCUCUUCCCUGGGAAUUGAACUUUGUGUGAUUUUUUAGUACAAUAAUUUACACGCUUCCGACCCUAUUGGAACAACAAGUGGUAUCAAGAGCCGAAGGUUAAUCGUAGUAUGCUCUGUGGUUGCAGUUUAAACUGAUCUUCCACAUCAGAAAAGAUUUCCUUAGGUAUAUUGAAAGAUUAUGGAGAAAACGGUCGGUGUAGGAGCUUCAACAUCGUCCAUAUGGACAAGACCGACA
rnacentral:lncRNA from 1 species